GUGCCCGCUUCAGCAGCACAUAGGCUAGAAUUGGAAUGAUACAGAGAAGACGAGCACGGCCCCUGAGCGAGGAUGACAUGCAAAUUCUUGAAGCGUUCCAUAUUUCU